AAAAUAAUAAUAAUAAUAAUAAAACACCCUUCAAUCUUUUUUACUUUAAAACUACCUUAUCUAUUUGAUAAUCCAUGCUCUUAAACUCAAAAAUUUGUAGAGAAAUAAAUGAUUUCACUUGAGUUGGUUGUUGAGAAAGUUGAGAGAAAAUGGCUUUAGUUGCCUAGAGAGAGCAUGAAAAGGUGCUAAAAUGAAUGAGCCAAGAUAGUUUUUUGCCCAAAAAAAGUUUCCUCUACUACAUUUCAUAUGAAAGACCAAAAAAAAAAGCUAAGAAUUCUUAGUUGGAAAAGUAAUGGACAUUAUGACCGUUACUUAAUGGUCUAUGACGGCCGUAACUGCCUUUACAGUUACAAAUUUAAAA
rnacentral:misc_RNA from 1 species